UCAAAUCUCCAAGCAGGCUUUACUAAGCAACCCGUUCCUAGUUACAGAGCUGCAUAAAUUUCACAUUCAUCCGUUAGUCCUAGUCUAAAGAAGUUAAGGGAAAACCACAUUAGCUUACUUAUUGAAGACGAUUUCAGCACGUCUUAAAUUUAAAACAAACUUCAAGUUAGCAUUCAUAUAACCAAGUAACCAUGUCUGAAAGAAAAGCCGUAAUCAAGAAUGCUGAUAUGUCUGAGGAUAUGCAGCAAGAUGCUGUGGACUGUGCUACACAAGCCUUGGAAAAAUACAACAUUGAAAAAGACAUUGCUGCCUUCAUUAAGAAAGAGUUCGAUAAGAAAUACAACCCAACAUGGCAUUGCAUUGUUGGCCGCAACUUUGGCAGCUACGUAACCCAUGAAACAAAACACUUCAUCUAUUUCUACUUGGGACAAGUUGCUAUACUGCUCUUCAAAUCUGGAUGAAGUGUUAAAAACUAUUAUAGACAUUUUUUAUGGAUUACUUCUUCUGACUGGAGUCCUAGAUCUGUUCAUCUCAUUGAAACAAAAAAUGCUGUGGCGGUGUUAAGAUGAAGUGAUAAAAUUUAUAAAGUUUGUUGAAAUCAAGGACUACCUAAAUUUUUUUUAAUUGGAAUGCCAUUUGUUGAAAUAAAUUGAUUUUCACAGUAAA